UCCAAGCAUCCCAUACACACUUCUCCGCGAUGAGGCCAAAAGGAAACGAGGACUGUGCUUUUCACCAAACAUAGCAGUAAAGUGUAAGCUUCAGCUUCAUCAUUGCGCGUCAUCACAUCAUCAGCUUCGGAUGUGAACGUGCUUCUUCCAUAAUCCAGCAACGCCCAACAUCGCGUUCAUCAAUUCCCAGACGUUCAUGGCUUUGCAUCUUGGAUUCUCAGAUUCAACAUCCAUUCAUGUUUCAUCCUAUUCGGCGUUGCUUCAGCUUCAUCGCCCACGUUUCAUCCUCUUCGGCAUUGUUUCGUCUUCAUCGCUCACGUUUACGUCAAUCCCUCGUUGAUUCAAAGAUUCCAAAGUAUGUGUCGCCAAAUCAAUUUAUACGGCUAUCAUAUGCCAAACAGAAAAGAAGCGGUAUCGCAGACAAUUCAGAGGACAUACCGGAUUUAACAGGUAUCGGACUUACCGGAUUUAACAGGUAUCGGACUUUUCUAUCGGACUUUUCUCUUUGAUUCCUGGUUGAUCUUUCUUCUUCUUCUCCGGUUCGAUUUCGAUGUGUUGCGGAUUUGAGCGAUUCUGAAAGUUGUGAAUCAUUGCAAAAAUGGUUGGCGUUUUGUUCCGCUGCGUUGUUAUGAUCUAUACGAAUGGAUUAUGGUUGAGGAAAUCUUCUGAAUCCUUCUGUUACGUGUAGAGUGUACGAAGAAUGGAGUGAAAAAAAUUGUAUGAACCACUGUGGAUUCUUCACUUUGAUGAAUGUAAAGAUGUGUCCUCCAAAAUAUUCUGUUGAACUGAAGUGUGAAUUCAUGUGUGAAAGAGUUUGUAUAUGAAGUGUAGAACGAAUAUCUCCUUAUGUUCUUCGAUCUUCUUCUACACCUUCUUGAACGUGAGAGAAAAAAAUUAGAGAGAUGAUUCAAGAUUGAUGGAGAGCUUCGUUUUCUGGUUGAUGAAGAUCGUGGAGUGAGGUUCAGUGUUAUGUGGAUUGAAGGUUGAGUUUGUUGUACUGUUGAUUGAGUUGUGGAGAAGAAUGGAGGAGGUUGUUGUGUGAAGCUCAAAAGGAGAUUGAAAAACAGAAAGAACAGUUGAGAGAUGAAGAAACUUGGAGAUGGAAACCCCCCUGAAAUGAUUGAAGAUGUGUACUUAUAGAGUUUUGGUUUCCAAAUUCUGUUAGAAAUUCAAAUCCAAAUGCAGAUGAAAUUUACCUUGAAAUGAGGAAGUUGCUUUGCGUUAUCGUUUUGCAUCAUAGCCUUGCGUUUCGCUUGUCGUUACAUUUCGAACCGCGUUUGCGUUCUGCUGGUGUACUCCUUGGUAGCUCCUGCGUGUUUCUGCUAUGGGUUCGCCGUUUCAGCUUGUGCAGUUGUCGUUUAGUACACUGCAGUUUCGAUUGCAGCUUUUGGCUCUUCAUUACUUCCAAUUGCCUUUAUUAUUUCAUUUUGGUCUGGUUUGGAUAUGUACAAUGGGCUUAAUUGGGCUUUGAUGUGUUAUGUGGAUAUGGGUUUUGGUUUGGUUAAUGGUAAUGCAAAUGGAUUGUUAGUGUUGGA